rnacentral:rRNA from 1 species
UCCUACGGGAGGCAGCAGUGGGGAAUAUUGCACAAUGGGCGCAAGCCUGAUGCAGCCAUGCCGCGUGUAUGAAGAAGGCCUUCGGGUUGUAAAGUACUUUCAGCGGGGAGGAAGGGAGUAAAGUUAAUACCUUUGCUCAUUGACGUUACCCGCAGAAGAAGCACCGGCUAACUCCUUUGCCAGCAGCCGCGGUAAU